rnacentral:lncRNA from 1 species
AUGUAAAAGCAUCGAAAUCAUCCUCAAGCUGCCGCUGUUUUUGAGUACUGUCAUCACUGUGCUCUUCAUGAGAUGAAUUGAAAUUGUCUUUAUUGAGGUCAUGCUGUGAGGAGUGAGUAGGGGUUUGGGUGGGGCUGGGGAGGGGAAGUGGACCCCAGUCAGCACCGAAAAGGACGGAGGUAGGGCUGACAUGGAGAAGGAUGACGGCGUCCCCUGGACGGAUAUAGUGGUGGACGGCCCAGCGAACAGCGUAAGCACUCUCAUCGGAGAGGUCGACGGCGACGCCAAUCUUGCGGCGAGCGCCAGCAGUGGGGGUAGGGGUGGCGGCGAGGUGGUGGGGGUGGCGAGGAGAGGAGGGGUGGUGGAUCUUGAUGGUGGGGAGCUGAGGGUGGUCGGGAUCUACAGAGUUCUGUUGAGGAUUCAUCUUUGAAAGCUGAAG